CCCCACUGCUAUCGGGAUGGGACUAAGACAUGCUAGUCGAGCGUCUCCAAGCUAUGGAAGAGACGCGGCACACAGCUCAGUAACACGUGGCUAACCUGCCCUUGGGACAAGGACAACUCCGGGAAACUGGAGCUAAUCCCUGAUAAGUGAGAACUCCUGGAAUGGAUUCUCGCUCAAAGGACGUUUAGACCAUGCUUCUAGGCGUCGCCCAAGGAGGGGGCCGCGACCGAUCAGGUUGUUGGUGAGGUAACGGCUCACCAAGCCUUUAACCGGUACGGGCCGUGAGAGCGGAAGCCCGGAGAUGGGCACUGAGACAAGGGCCCAGGCCCUACGGGGCGCAGCAGUCGCGAAAACUCCGCAAUACACGAAAGUGUGACGGGGCCAUCCCGAGUGCCAUCCGCUGAGGAUGGCUUUUCCCCAGUGUAUAAAGCUGGGGGAAUAAGGAGAGGGCAAGCCUGGUGUCAGCCGCCGCGGUAAUACCAGCUCUCCGAGUGGUGGGGAUGUUUAUUGGGCCUAAAGCAUUCGUAGCCUGCUUGGCAAGUCCUCCGUUAAAUCCAACGAUUCAAUCGUUGGGCUGCGGGGGAUACUGUCCAGCUAGGGGGCGGGAGAGGCCGACGGUAUCCCCGGGGUAGGGGUGAAAUCCUAUAAUCCCGGGAGGACCACCAGUGGCGAAGGCUGUCGGCUAGAACGCGCUCGACGGUGAGGGAUGAAAGCUGGGGGAGCGAACCGGAUUAGAUACCCGGGUAGUCCCAGCUGUAAACGAUGCAGGCUAGGUGUUGGCGCGGCUACGUGCCGCUCCAGUGCCGCAGGGAAGCCGUUAAGCCUGCCGCCUGGGAAGUACGGCCGCAAGGCUGAAACUUAAAGGAAUUGGCGGGGGAGCACCACAAGGUGUGAAGCUUGCGGUUU
rnacentral:rRNA from 1 species